rnacentral:lncRNA from 1 species
UUUAGUCAUGGCAAUUUCACUGAAGCUUUUAUUGCCUCUGUUGGUAAUAUGACAGGGAUGUAAGAAACACAAUUGAACUUACAGAGAUAUGCAGAUGAUAGUCACUAAAGAUAACCUUGAUCUCAAGUAUUUUUAUAUGUGGGCACUUCUAAUUUUAUACACUUUACUAUUUAAAAAGCAUUACAUUUUAAAAUGUGUACCUGUUUUGACAUUUGGCAAAAAGGAAACUGUACCUGUGGUUCAGUUUAAAACAAAAGAAUCAGCAUGGGGAGUUAACCAAAAUGAAGGCUGAAACACUAAUUAAUUAAAGCAAUUCAAGUUGUGUGUGUGUGAGCAUGUGUGUCCCUUUCAACCUGUCAAUC